UACGGGGGGAGCAAGCGUUGUUCGGAUUUACUGGGCGUAAAGGGCGCGUAGGCGGUCGUGACAAGUCACUUGUGAAAUCUCCGGGCUUAACUCGGAACGGUCAAGUGAUACUGUCGGACUAGAGUACAGAAGGGGCAACUGGAAUUCUCGGUGUAGCGGUGAAAUGCGUAGAGAUCGGGAGGAACACCAGUGGCGAAGGCGGCCGGCUGGGCCAUACCUGACGCUGAGGCGCGAAAGCGGUGGGGAGCGAACGGGG
rnacentral:rRNA from 1 species